rnacentral:rRNA from 1 species
GAUGAACGCUAGCGGCAGGCCUAACACAUGCAAGUCGAGGGGUAGAAGGAGCUUGCUCCUUUGAGACCGGCGCACGGGUGCGUAACGCGUAUGCAAUCUACCUUGUACAGGGGAAUAGCCCAGAGAAAUUUGGGUUAAUGCCCCAUAGUAUAUAACCUUCGCAUGUUGGUUAUAUUAAAGUUCCAACGGUACAAGAUGAGCAUGCGUCCCAUUAGUUAGUUGGUAAGGUAACGGCUUACCAAGACGAUGAUGGGUAGGGGUCCUGAGAGGGAGAUCCCCCACACUGGUACUGAGACACGGACCAGACUCCUACGGGAGGCAGCAGUGAGGAAUAUUGGUCAAUGGUCGCAAGACUGAACCAGCCAUGCCGCGUGCAGGAAGACGGUCCUAUGGAUUGUAAACUGCUUUUAUACAGGAAGAAACCCUCCCACGUGUGGGAGCUUGACGGUACUGUAGGAAUAAGGAUCGGCUAACUCCGUG